UACGUAGGGCGCAAGCGUUAUCCGGAAUUAUUGGGCGUAAAGAGCUCGUAGGCGGUUUGUCGCGUCUGCCGUGAAAGUCCGGGGCCCAACUCCGGAUCUGCGGUGGGUACGGGCAGACUAGAGUGAUGUAGGGGAGACUGGAAUUCCUGGUGUAGCGGUGGAAUGCGCAGAUAUCAGGAGGAACACCGGUGGCGAAGGCGGGAUCCUGGGCCAGUACUGACGCUGAGGAGCGAAAGCGUGGGGAGCAAACAGG
rnacentral:rRNA from 1 species